UCUCAGAUCUGGAGGUUACUUGUACCAUUUGUUGAUAACAAACUUAGCUUCUUUGCCAGAUUCAACCCUCUUGUUUAGUGUCUACAGCAGUGUUUUUCAACCUUGACAACUUUAAGAUGCACUUGUGGACUUCAACUCCCAAAAUUCCUCCUCUAGUCAUGUUAGCUCAGGAAUUCUGGGAGUUGAAGUCCACAAGUCUUAAACUUGCCAAGUUUCAAGACCCUUGCUCUACAAAAUGGUCCUGAUUGCAGGAAAGACUUUUCACCAAUCAAACUCAGUUUUCCCUUUAAGAUUAUGCAAAUAGACCACAAUAUUAAAAGCAUUUAUUUCCCACUAAGGAGUCCAGAGAUUUGGGUACGUCAGGAGAAAUGGAGAAUACAACUUGCUACCUGUCCUGAUUUGAAUCGGUUUCUCAAGGAACAUUAUUUAAUUUCAUGAAACAUGAGAUGGGAAGGAAACAUUUGCUUCAAAUGAAGAAAAAAGGCAAUUUAGCUAGGCAAAUAAAUGGAAGGAACGCAGCAAGAUUAAAAUCAGGAAUAUUUCAAGACUGUGCAACAACUACGUACAGCCUGCCAAGCACAUGUUAGUUUUCCCUGCCUUAGACUGAAACAUUGAGAUGCACUCAGAAACUAAAAACAACAUUUUGCAUUUGGCCUCAUGAGUCACCAAAUGUGCAAGUCUGAUUUAAGACCCCAAAAAGUGUCUCUUUGCGUAUGCAUUUCUCUUUUUCCAUCACAG